rnacentral:rRNA from 1 species
GACGAACGCUGGCGGCGUGCUUAACACAUGCAAGUCGAGCGGUAAGGCCCUUUCGGGGGUACACGAGCGGCGAACGGGUGAGUAACACGUGGGUGACCUGCCCUCAGCUCUGGGAUAAGCCUGGGAAACCGGGUCUAAUACCGGAUAUGACUCCAUGACGCAUGUUGUGGGGUGGAAAGCCUUGUGCGGCUGAGGAUGGGCCCGCGGCCUAUCAGCUUGUUGGUGGGGNGAUGGCCUACCAAGGCGACGACGGGUAGCCGGCCUGAGAGGGCGACCGGCCACACUGGGACUGAGACACGGCCCAGACUCCUACGGGAGGCAGCAGUGGGGAAUCUUGCGCAAUGGGCGAAAGCCUGACGCAGCAACGCCGCGUGGGGAUGAAGGCUCUCGAGUUGUAAACCCCUUUCAGCAGGGACGAAUCUGACGGUACCGGGUGAGGAAGCCCCGGCUAACUCUGUGCCAGCCGCCGCAGUAAG